AAGGGUUUGGCUGUUCGCCAAUUAAAAGGGUACGCGAGCUGGGUUCAAACCGUCGUGAGACAGGUUGGUCCAUAUCUGGUGCGGGCGUUGAUACUUGAGGGGGUUUGGGAUUAGUACGAGAGGACCGUUCUGAACGAACCUCUGGUCUGCCGGCUGUCCUGCCAAGGGCAUCGCCGGGUAGCUAUGUUCGGUUCCGAUAAGCGCUGAAAGCAUAUAAGUGCGAAACGGGCCCCAAGAUUAGGUAUCGUAGAUUCCUUGCAGAUUACAAGGUUGAUAGGGCUUAGGUGUAAGCGCAGUAAUGCGUUAAGCCGAGAGCUACUAAUAAAUCAUUGUUUGCCCGC
rnacentral:ncRNA from 1 species